rnacentral:sRNA from 1 species
AUGCUCCGCAGACUGGCCCGAGCGGCGGCCCCGGUACAUGGGGCGCUCCGGGCGGGGUCUGGGAGCGCGGGGGUCGCAGCCCACGUGGUGGGCCUGCGCAGCGACAAGGUGACCGGGCCCGGGCCGGCCAUGAGGCACGUCAUGGCCGAUGCGGUCGUGGGGGACGACGACUACGGCGAAGACCGGCGUGCAGGCCGGGGAGCUGCAAGAAAUGGCUUUGGAGCUGCUAGGGCUGGGGCGCACCCUCUUUGUGCCCUCCAACACUAUGGCCAACCUCAUCUCUGUGAUGUGUCACUGCUGGCGCCGGGGCUCCCAGCUCCUCCUUGGGCAGGAGUGCCACCUCCACGUCUUUGAGCAGGGUGGGGUGGCUCAGAGGGCUGGAGUGCACUCCCACUCCCUCCCAGAGCUGCCCCACUGCACCCUGGACUGGCUGAGCUGGAGAGGAUGAUCACGCGGGACCUCCAGAGCCCCUACCACCAGGUCUGCGAGCUCAUUUGCCUGGAGAACUCACACAGCAUCUCGGGGGUCCGGAUCCUCCCCAUCAACUACCUACGCCAGGUGCACCUCCUGGCCCAGACCUAUGGGGCCUGGGUCCACCUGGACGGGGCCCAGCUGAUGAACGUGGCGCUGGCCCUGCAUGUCCCGCCCACCCACAUUGUGGAGCACUGUGACUCUGUGUCUUUCUGCCUCUCCAAGGGCCUGGGCGCCCCAGUGGGGUCCCUGGCUGGGAGGCCCAAGGACUUCAUUGAAGAAGCCUGGUGCCUCCAAAAAGCCCUGGGCGGAAGCGUGCACCAGGUGGGGAUGCUGGCUGCAGUGGCCCUGGUGGGACUGGUUGACACAAAGCAGGCACUGUGGCAAGACCAUGGGAACGCCCAGAGAUUCACCAAAGGACUCCAGGAGCCGGUGUCGUCCGUCUGCUCAGUUGAUCCCACCUUCGUGGAGACGAACAUGGUGGUGGUGAGCAUGGCUGGCUUGUGGGCCGUGAGUGCCGCUGUUCCUAUGGACAGAGCAGUCCGUGCUUCCGUGUGGCACCGCGACGUCUCGGUGUAGGACACUGAACUGGUGCUGAGGAAGUGGGAGUUUGUGCUGAGGCCACUGGAGUCCUGA